UGUAUUGUAAUAGACACACACGACUUAGUGCUUUUGAAAGAGGGCUGAGCCUCACACACACAAACAGCGCAGUUUCUCAAUGGGGGGACGGAGUCAAGAGGAGACAGAACUGUCGUUCCGCUGGAGCCGAUCUCCGUCCGUGUGUGAAAAGUGAGGAGUCAAAUUAACACUCUGUUGUCACGAGAGGGCUUUUACAUUCACAGGAGUAAGAAGAGAGAGAAAAGGAGGUCUGUGGUGAUAUAAAGGUGAUAUGAGCCGCCUUCCAUCCUGUAAACCCUGACUAGUUUGUAACAGCGUGUUGUGGCUGUGAGCUGAGGUGGUUUCUGGUGACCGCACUCCCAGGAUUUCAGACGGACAGAGAGAGUCGAGGGGGGCAAGCGGACGAGGCAGAAACAACAGAGCUUCUCCCCCUCUUAUCCUGCAGCGUUGUUCUUCUUUACACCUGGAACUUUGUUGGGAAUCCCUGGCCUCAGACUAUGGAUGGAUUUAAGACAAUGUUGUGAGUCUGUUGGACAGACAGUAAUACUGACAGCAGGGCACCCUUUCUUUUGACCAGACAGACCACUCAGCCGCCCUGCCACCCUGCCCUGACAUGUCCUGGUUCCUGGGCCUGUGGAUUAGCAUGGGCUUCCUGCUGCUGUGCCAGGCCACGCUGUACGAGACCCUCCAGCAGCACCACGUGCCCCGGCCCGGACGCAACGCCAUCCAGAUCCUGGAAGGAGGUACGUGUGAGGUGAUCGCAGCCCACCGGUGCUGUAAUAAGAACCGUAUCGAAGAGCGCUCCCAGACCGUCAAGUGCUCCUGUCUACCGGGAAAAGUGGCCGGGACGACACGCAACAAACCCUCUUGUGUGGACGCAUCCAUUGUGAUUGGGAAGUGGUGGUGUGAGAUGGAGCCCUGUCUGGAGGGAGAGGAGUGUAAGACUCUGCCUGAUAACUCUGGAUGGAUGUGCUCCUCUGGGAACAAGAUCAAGACCACAAGGAACACUGCGCCAUACUCACCUUUUUAGCUCUGGAAGCAAAAUGCAGAGGAUGCUUCAACAGAAACUGAGCUGCAUUCUUUGCUUCUGUAAAGAUUCAUCCCAGGACCUAACAAAGAGUUCCCUUGCAGGCUCCCAGCCAGGAUCCCCUCCCUCCAAAUGGACUAAACCAUUACAUCAACGGCGACUGACUGGAUUACCUGUGACCACAAAAAGGAUAUCCUCUGAGAUAAAACAGCUUUGCUAGUGUGGUGCCAAGAAUUGUAGACCAGACUAAUCCCUUUUUUGAUCAAUGAGCCUCACGUUGGUGACUUUCCACCACAACAACCAUGGCCAAUUUCCCACAUGCUCUUUUUUCUCCCCUUCAAAACUAAAACAGCUUAGCGGGGGUUAUUUAGAUGUUGUAAAAACCUUAUUUGAAAACACUAACACCUCCCCAAAGGUAAACUGGAUGAUCCUCACUGAGCCUCAGUGCCACUGAGCAGGGGAUCCUACAGGAUCAGUGGCACAUUGGAGGGACAUUAUGUGGGGAUUGAUUUUACCUUUUUCAUCAUCCUUGUCAUCGGCAUCCAUCUUAGAAGCGACAUCUCAGCAUGCCAGCUUUCCUGUGACUGUGCGGAGCCUGGGCAGUGACCCUGACUGCUGUUCACUCUGCCUACGCAACGCAAUGCCCCCAGGAACAACAACGAGAGCUGAGUAAACAGACACUGAGAGGUCACAGGGGUCAACCCGGGGGCCCCAUGUCAUGAUUGACAUGUCAGUCAGAAGUCUUCUUUGUUGGCAUGCUCUAUGUAAUUCAUUGGAGCUUUUUCUUUGUACGUAAGAUACUUUGUGUAUAUAUACAUAUAUAAAUACAGUACAUAUAAAAAUAGUUUGGGGGCUCCCUUAUACAGUAAACAACAUAUUCUGCACAGAGAUCCUUUCGUGGGAUUCUUCAGUUCUGUCCCUGAUUAUGAAGUACGGUGAAUUCCUAGUCAAAGGUAGUGCUUGAAUCUCCUCUCUGUGUAUAGGACUGUUUGCAUUGUUUGCUUGUGUUGAGAAUCUCUGGAAUAGACGUUACAGGAUCAUGAGAAAGUAUUGGUCUUAUUCACCAUUCAGCGAUGUGCUUGGAAGAUAGGAAUCCCUGUAGCUUCUGAAAGAUGAUAAAAACACUGUACAGAACUGCCUCACAAAAGAAACUAUAAUUAACAGCGACCCAAAUCCUAUUUUCUGUGCUAAAUUAGAGAUAACAACAGUGCAACUGGGCCCGGUGUCUGAGAGUUAAUGCCUGUUCUUAUUUCAUUUCCUGUGUCUGCUAUGGAGAAUGAGUGUGGACUUGACUGUGCUUGUUGUGUGUAUAUUUCCACACAUUCACAGUAGGCAUGUUUCCAUUGACCCAGGUCUAUUCGACAAAAGCAAUGUCCCCCCCAAAAAAAUUGCGACAUUUGUAAUGGCAGAUGUAUGAGACAUUUCCUAAAGCUCAAAUACAUUUUUAUCUGUUCGACAGUUUCUUUAUUGCAACAAAUGAUGAUGGAAACUGUGUUUUUUGAAUAAAUUAUGAUUGCUGAAUAAUUUUGAAGGUACGCGGGGCACGUGAUGUUAUCAUGUAUCUAUAAAGCUCCACUCCACAUUUAAUUAUAAAUGCCUACAACUUGCAAAAUCCAUUUAUUAAAAUAUAAAAAUAAUAUUUAUUUGCAAGACAAAGAUUGUCUUGACUUUCAAGAAUGCCUGAAUUGCUUUACAUUGCAAAUUGAAGUAUCACCAUUAAAUUGUUUCAGAUCUCUUCUAGGCCUACAGUACAUGACUACAAUGGCACUGACUAUGGCGAUAAGUAGGCACGAGAAUGAUUAGAAUAUGGCAAAUAUUAGUUAAUUCUUGCAUCUAUCCAUGCUGGCUUUUGUGGGCUACCUGAGACAUGAAACAGAUAGGUGGAGGGCAUACUGGCUGUCGCCACUUUAUUAAUGCGCAAUUUGCUUAAAUGGAUAAUGGAAACACUUCAAACACUUCAACCAUGUCAUUAUUCGACAUUUUAGUUUUUGGGGAAAACUUGUUUUUUGGCGUAACGUCAUUACAUCCAGAUGUUUUUACCGACACGGCAGUACACUGGAAAUGCACUGUGGCAUGCAAUUGCCGCAUCUACAGUACUUUCUGUGUAAACUUUCUAAAUGUCGACAAAAAAUCACUGGACAAGUUAAGGGAAACCUAGCUACUGAAAGCCUUUCCAAUGGAUAUAUAGAAAAAGACAUUGAGAAAGUAUUAGCCACAUUGGAAAGACAUGCAGUACCCCCAUUAGAUAUACAUACAGCCUUAUCAGAAUUAAAAGGAUUUUCUAUA